rnacentral:rRNA from 1 species
GACGAACGCUGGCGGCGUGCUUAACACAUGCAAGUCGAACGGAAAGGCCCUGCUUUUGUGGGGUGCUCGAGUGGCGAACGGGUGAGUAACACGUGAGUAACCUGCCCUUGACUUUGGGAUAACUUCAGGAAACUGGGGCUAAUACCGGAUAGGAGCUCCUGCUGCAUGGUGGGGGUUGGAAAGUUUCGGCGGUUGGGGAUGGACUCGCGGCUUAUCAGCUUGUUGGUGGGGUAGUGGCUUACCAAGGCUUUGACGGGUAGCCGGCCUGAGAGGGUGACCGGCCACAAUGGGACUGAGGGAGGGACCAGACUGGAACGGGAGGCAGCGGUGGGGAGUAUGGCACAAUGGGCUGGAGCGUGAUAAAGCGGCGCCGCGUGCGGGAUGAGGGCCUGCGGGUGAUGAACAGCUUUGGGCUGUGACGACGCGUGGGUGACGGUACUGGAAAAAGAAGCACCGGCUAACUACGUG